UCCUGGUGCUGUUCUCGCCGGUCUCCACAGGAUGCUGCAGCUGUGGCCGCUAUGUCGCCGAAGCGUGCUCUCACGGAACACUUCGUUUGCAGGAGGGGGCAAGGCCUGGGGUGCUUCGCGACGGCUCCCGGCGCCGGCGGCUGCUGGCCUGAUGCUGCGACGGAGGUGGUGGUGCGAGGUUGCUGACUGCUGUCGGGUUGGGCUUGCCUGGUGUUUGAGCUGCGGCCGUUCUCCGUUCCGUCUCGGUCUCGAUGUUGUUGUACUUGUUCUCUCUGACUCGCCCCUCCCUUCUUCUUCACUGGCUGCCUGCCCUGCAGUCUUCUUUUACGGAUUUUUUUUUGUCAUUUGUUCCUUUGUCAUUUUAGUUUUGCUAGCU
rnacentral:misc_RNA from 1 species